GUCUCCUCCCAAAGAGUAACGGAGGAGCACGAAGGGUGGCUAAGUACGGUCGGACAUCGUACGGUUAGUGUAAUGGUAGAAGCCAGCUUAACUGCGAGACAGACACGUCGAGCAGGUACGAAAGUAGGUCAUAGUGAUCCGGUGGUUCUGAAUGGAAGGGCCAUCGCUCAACGGAUAAAAGGUACUCCGGGGAUAACAGGCUGAUACCGCCCAAGAGUUCAUAUCGACGGCGGUGUUUGGCACCUCGAUGUCGGCUCAUCACAUCCUGGGGCUGAAGUCGGUCCCAAGCGUAUGGCUGUUCGCCAGUUACAGUGCUACUCGAGCUUGGUUUAGCACGUC
rnacentral:rRNA from 1 species